CACCGCCCGUCGCUACUACCGAUUGGAUGGUUUAGUGAGGCCCUCGGAUCGGCCCCGCCGGGGUCGGCCCACGGCCCUGGCGGAGCGCUGAGAAGACGGUCGAACUUGACUAUCUAGAGGAAGUAAAAGUCGUAACAAGGUUUCCGUAGGUGAACCUGCGGAAG
rnacentral:ncRNA from 1 species